CAGUCGCCGCGGUAAUACGGAGGGGGCUAGCGUUGUUCGGAAUUACUGGGCGUAAAGCGCACGUAGGCGGCUUGGUAAGUUAGAGGUGAAAGCCCGGGGCUCAACCCCGGAAUUGCCUUUAAGACUGCCGAGCUAGCAGGUGAGAGAGGUGAGUGGAAUUCCGAGUGUAGAGGUGAAAUUCGUAGAUAUUCGGAAGAACACCAGUGGCGAAGGCGGCUCACUGGCUCAUACUGGACGCUGAGGUGCGAAAGCGUGGGGAGCAAACAGGAUUAGAUACCCGCGUAGUCCCUGUCUCUUAUAC
rnacentral:rRNA from 1 species